AGUGUUGUAGCUCGGUGGUAGAAUGCAUAUCUCACACAUGUGAGGCACUGGGUUUGAUCCUCAGCACCACAU
rnacentral:tRNA from 1 species